rnacentral:rRNA from 1 species
UACGUAGGGUGCAAGCGUUGUCCGGAAUUAUUGGGCGUAAAGAGCUCGUAGGCGGUUUGUCGCGUCUGCUGUGAAAACGCGGGGCUCAACUCCGCGCCUGCAGUGGGUACGGGCAGACUUGAGUUCGGUAGGGGAGACUGGAAUUCCUGGUGUAGCGGUGAAAUGCGCAGAUAUCAGGAGGAACACCGGUGGCGAAGGCGGGUCUCUGGGCCGAUACUGACGCUGAGGAGCGAAAGCGUGGGGAGCGAACAGG